rnacentral:sRNA from 1 species
AUUAUGUUUGUCAAAAUUUAGUAAAAUAUAUUCAAAUAUAAUUAAAUUUAUUAAAACUUAACAAAUUUAAAAGUUUUUUUUGUUUGGAGACCCGCUAUCUACAUACAAAAUACCCGUUUCUAUUUUUUU